CUCUUGUUUUGACAGAUUGAAACUCUAAAAAAAAAAAUUCGGAGAUGGCGAUUCCCGUCCACUCGUUCCUCUCGGAUUUGAUCUGGUGUUGGGUCCAUGUGAUUUCCGAUGACUUCCGAGUACAAAUCGGUCAGAUUGUAAUACUGAAACAAUACCCGACAAACAUGUUCUUAUUUUUAUAUGCAUGGCAAAUAUGGAUCAAGUCUUUAUUUAGGUGAACAUUAUCAAAUGUGAGAAGGAUAUAUUCUAAAAGAGCAGAUGAAUCACCAAACUAAAAAGUCAGAGCAGAUGAAUCACCAAUGUCAAAAGUCAGUGUAUUUACAAUCAAGAUUCAAACUCGUUUUAAAGAGCUGGAAAGGCAUUUAUAAUAUAGACCAUGAUGAUUCAAAGUCAAUAAUAAGGAGAUAAGUCGAACUUUUUAUAAUAUAUUCUUUUAGUAGUUGGGUCAAGUUGCUAACUUUUGAUGAAACAUCCUCUAUGUUGUUAUGCUUAUGGUUCUUAGUUUUGAUUGUAGGAUUUAAAAAACAUAAUCAUCGUAUAGUAAACUGACAUCAACAUCUAUUUGGAGAAGAUCAGAACGCGUAUACACUCCUAUUAUUAACUUUAGUAUGGUUUCAAAAUCAACCAAAUCCAGAAAAUUAUCAUCAAUCCGGAGAGUUGACUCCGAGAUGUCCGUGUUGUGAAGGAAAUUCAUUUUCAAAGGAUUUUUGGUUGUUCGAAAUGUACGGGGAGCAUUCGUCAAACUGAAGUUAUCAAUGUUGAUCCACUCUCCAACAGGAACUUUCGUAGCCAACUCAUCCAUAACUUUGACUUGUACCCGAUAAGAUGUAAAACGUGGUUUGAUAUCGUUCAAGAAGGUAAUCUGCAUAUUGUUAACCAUGAUUUUCUGAAUCGUUUUUUCUUUUCUUGUGAGGAGUUUGAGUUUGAUUUUGAUAAAGAUGGAUGUUAAAGGGUUGAGAGUAAGAUUGUAUUUAUAAUAUAGGAGGGGUUUAUAGUCGAUCAACCAUAAUUGAAUAUUUUGUAAUCAAAUUGGUUAUCUUAUUUUAAGGAAUAAAAUCUAAGCAAGCAUCAAUUAGUUAUUUUGGUUGAUAGAUUUUAGGUAAAU